AAAUGAGGGAAAUACAGGUUCCAGCUGACAGUGACAUCAUGCCUGAGCCCCCUGCGACCUUCCAUGGGUGCUGAAGGUGGAAACUGUGCUUGGUAGGAGGACUGGGCCAGGAAAGGACAAGGCUUUUCUCUGACCUACAGAUACAAAGCAGUUUAUUAGAGGAGCCAUGAACCAUAUUUCUGUGACAGAAGAACUGUUUCUUGGUGUCACCAGCCAUAGAGGAAAAUUAGGACUGCAACAUAUUAAUCAUCUUAAAACUCCUAGAGACUCAUGAAAACCAAAUUACACUACCUGAAAAUGUGAAAA